UACGUAGGGUGCGAGCGUUGUCCGGAAUUAUUGGGCGUAAAGGGCUCGUAGGCGGUUUGUCACGUCGGGAGUGAAAACACGGGGCCUAACCCCGUGCCUGCUUCCGAUACGGGCAGACUAGAGGUAUGCAGGGGAGAACGGAAUUCCUGGUGUAGCGGUGAAAUGCGCAGAUAUCAGGAGGAACACCGGUGGCGAAGGCGGUUCUCUGGGCAUUACCUGACGCUGAGGAGCGAAAGUGUGGGGAGCGAACAGG
rnacentral:rRNA from 1 species